UGUGCCCACGGUACUCAGGGAGGUGGAGACAUCACCAAGGAUCAGCAUGGAGUAUCAUCUGUGUCUCCUGCAGGCUUCCUAAACCUGUCUAGCCAGUCAAUUACCAAGGCUGCUCUACAGAGUUAGACACACUUCCUCCGAGGAGCCCUUCUCUGGAUUUGCAUGUGCUUAAAGGAAACAAAGAAAAGAAAACAACUCUACUUGGCCAAGGGGACCACAGAGAAACCUUAAAACUAAGUUCCUACUCAUGAUGGGAUGGGAAGUCAGAUAUGCUUCAUUAUAUCCCCUCCUUCAUUACCUACCAUCAGCCUUUCCUCCCUAAGGUUAACAGAACUAACCCUUUGGACAGAUUUUCUACACUUCUGAUUUCAACCAGAGUGCUGCUCCUCCCUUUGUGGUUUGGACACAACUGAUCAGCAUUCCUUCCUGAGAAGAGACUACUGACCAGAGUGGUUUAUGGAGGAUGCGCAGUGAGAGUUUUCGUGUCCUUUGUUUCACCUUUUGACAAUCAGGGGGCUGAGAAUUCCAUCCUUGGAUCAUGCUAAUGCUGCCAUUUUUUGAACAGGGGACCCAUGAAGGCACCUGAAGCUCAAUUAUGCAUGCAUAUGAUUAUCCUUUCAUAAAUAUUCAUGACUUCCCCUAUAGCUCAUUAAAUAUGUAUAUUUAGCCACCCUACUUAGCAUAAAUCCCUGUUCCCUUUCCCUAGAAGUGCCUGUUUCUUCAUUCUGGCUAGAGGCUCUGCUUCCUAAGCUUGUCAGUAUGACCACGCUGCACACCGCAACCCUUUAUGAGGAAUAAAGCUCUCCUUUCCAAA